rnacentral:sRNA from 1 species
AAAGAAAUUGAGAGGAACCCAAGGGGUAGACUAUGUCUGAAUUGUAUUAAUUGAGUCCAUUGCAGCAGGAUUUAAGUGGCUCUUCGGCAUUGUUAUUUGUCCAAGAUAACUCCAGUAAAUUGUCAUGUUCAAGGUUCUUUGUUGCAGAACUAAGUGCCUAGUUUAGCUUCACAGGGUAGUCCAAGAUGGUCCAACGUUUAGGUGUGUCCUACUGGUUUUCUACAGCUUGCAACCUCACUCACAUUGGUAUUAAAGUGGCACAAUGUAGUGAGCUUCUAGAACUGAUACUGCAGCGUUCAACUCUGUCUAGUAUGACAUGGUAGUGAACCAACAUAGUAGGCUUUUAGGCUUAUAUUUGCAGCUCACCACCCUAUGCAGUUUGACCUUGGAAAAAGAAAAAGACCAAAUAUAGUAUUUUUACAGAGGUGAACUUGGCAGUUGGAAAUGUACAUAUUAGCACUUUUACGGUUCAAAUAGGCAAAUAUCCAAUGGCUGUUUUUCUCUGUUUCAAGCUGACCAGAUUAAGCACCAGAAAAUGGACCAAUAAUAGGGUUACAUUCUAGGACAAUGUUGUAUAUGUUCCGUAGUUAACUAUGUAGAUUUUGAAUCUAGUUGGUUUAGCACAGAUUUUGAAUCUAGUUCCUUGGGCUAUUGUAGCUGCGUUAAGUGUAAGACCCUGAGGUUUUAAUAUGCCUAAGUAUCAUAAAA